GCGCUGCAUUAGCUAGUUGGUAAGGUAACGGCUUACCAAGGCAACGAUGCAUAGCCGACCUGAGAGGGUGAUCGGCCACACUGGAACUGAGACACGGUCCAGACUCCUACGGGAGGCAGCAGUAGGGAAUCUUCCGCAAUGGGCGAAAGCCUGACGGAGCAACGCCGCGUGAGUGAUGAAGGUCUUCGGAUCGUAAAACUCUGUUAUUAGGGAAGAACAUAUGUGUAAGUAACUGUGCACAUCUUGACGGUACCUAAUCAGAAAGCCACGGCUAACUACGUGCCAGCAGCCGCGGUAAUACGUAGGUGGCAAGCGUUAUCCGGAAUUAUUGGGCGUAAAGCGCGCGUAGGCGGUUUUUUAAGUCUGAUGUGAAAGCCCACGGCUCAACCGUGGAGGGUCAUUGGAAACUGGAAAACUUGAGUGCAGAAGAGGAAAGUGGAAUUCCAUGUGUAGCGGUGAAAUGCGCAGAGAUAUGGAGGAACACCAGUGGCGAAGGCGACUUUCUGGUCUGUAACUGACGCUGAUGUGCGAAAGCGUGGGGAUCAAACAGGAUUAGAUACCCUGGUAGUCCACGCCGUAAACGAUGAGUGCUA
rnacentral:rRNA from 1 species